rnacentral:lncRNA from 1 species
UAGGGACUGGAAUUGUGCUUUAUGUCCACUUUAGGUGGGACUGGGACAGAUGAAAUGCCCAUAAAGGGCUUUUGAUUUCUGUGGCAAAAUGGUUUUAAAGCUCCACCCAGUUUUAAAGAAUUAUUUCUGGACUAAGUAUUCCUUGGGAGAGUCCUGCUGUUUCUCAGAGCUUCUCAUGUACUCCUUUUUCCUGUAUGAGUUAGAUCCCUAGCUGUCCCUGCUGGUGUUAACAAUUCUUCAUGGAGUUGUGUGCCGUUUGGCUGUUUUCCCGUCCUUACAUGUGGAUGUGGUGAAAUAGCCUUCCCAGUGGUGUAAAGUGACAUGGAGUGAUGGACCACAGUGGGAACCCCUGGAAAGAGGACCUGGGAAGACCCGAGCCGAGAUCAGAGUUCAGAUGUGAAACAACCAUUUCAACCAGCUUGGACAAAAGAGAGAAGCCAAGAUGGGGCUGAGAAACCAAUGCAGGCAGGCCCAGGGACCCAGGAGUCAGGGACCAGGUGCUACCAGAUGCUUGCUCCGACUCGUGUUGCUGCUGUCUUCUCUGUGCCUCAACUCUGUCCUCUGUCACUGCAGGCAGCUUCCUCCCAAGGUGAUGGAGACCAUGCCAUUGCUAGUCUACCUUGAAAGACAGAUGUGAAGAAUGAAGUCAGGGGCUUUGCAGGAAGGUGAUAUAUCCCACCUCAUGAAAUCAGGCUUCACCACAAGAUUGCUUUGACCAAGGGGACGUGAGUAGAAGUUUGAAGAACCACAGACUGGUCCAUCACCUUGUUUCUUAUCCCUCUGACAUAAGCAAUGUCCCAGACUGGGGCUGUUCUGUUAGCCUGGCUUCCAGAAUGAAGAGAGCUGAUCUACAUGGCAUAUGUAAGAUAAAUAAACCUUUGUUAUUACAAACCACUGAAACUUGGGGCUUCUUUGUCACAGCAGAUGAAUUUAGCCUAACUAUCCAAUACAGGUGUCUUGAGAAGAAACAGCAACAGGAGAAGAAGAAGAAACAGCAACAGCAACAGGACGAAGAGUUGUUUUGGGGGAAAAAAGGAUGAUCCAGGGUGAAAUGUAAU